GAAAGUAAGCAAGGGCAGACGGUGGAUGCCUUGGCUCUCGGAGGCGACGAAGGACGUGAUAAGCUGCGAAAAGCUCGGGGGAGGCGCAAAUAGCCCUUGAUCCCGGGAUAUCCGAAUGGGGCAACCCGGCAGGCUGAAGGCCUGCCAUCCCGUAAGGGAGGCGAACGUGGGGAACUGAAACAUCUAAGUACCCAUAGGAGGAGAAAAUAAACAAUGAUUCCGUAAGUAGUGGCGAGCGAACACGGAAGAGCCCAAACCCAUGUCGUCUAGGCGACACGGGGGUUGUAGGACCACGACGUGGCAAGAUAGAGUCAAGUGGAACGCCUUGGAAAAGGCGGUCAUAGAGGGUGAAAACCCCGUACACGACUGACGAUUGAAGCCUAGUGGCAUCCUGAGUAGCGCGGGGCACGAGAAAUCUUGCGUGAAACAGCGGGGCCCAUCCCGUAAGGCUAAAUACUCCCGAGAGACCGAUAGCGAACCAGUACCGUGAGGGAAAGGUGAAAAGAACCCCGAGCAGGGGAGUGAAAUAGACCCUGAACCCGUCUGCCUACAAGCGGUCGGAGCAUCGUCAAGAUGUGACGGCGUGCCUUUUGCAUAAUGAACCUACGAGUUACCUUCCCCGGCAAGGUUAAGUACCUAAGGUACGGAGCCGAAGCGAAAGCGAGUCUGAAGAGGGCGGCCAGUCGGGGGGGGUAGACGCGAAACCGAGUGAUCUACCCUUGGCCAGGUUGAAGGUUGGGUAACACCAACUGGAGGACCGGAUGGGUAAGCGUUGAAAAGCUUUCCAAUGAGCUGAGGGUAGGGGUGAAAGGCUAAUCAAACUCGGAGAUAGCUCGUACUCCCCGAAAUGCAUUUAGGUGCAGCCUCUUUAUAGUAUAUCGUGAGGUAGAGCGACUGAUUGGAUGCGAGGGCUUCACCGCCUAUCAAGUCCAGAUAAACUCCGAAUGCGCGAUAUAUAUUUACAGGGAGUGAGGGCGCGGGUGCUAAGGUCCGUGUCCGAGAGGAGAAGAAUCCAGACCACCGGCUAAGGCCCCCAAAUGAUCGUUGAGUUGAACUAACGAGGUCGGAUCGCAGAGACAGCUAGGAUGUUGGCUUGGAAGCAGCCAUUCAUUUAAAGAGUGCGUAACAGCUCACUAGUCGAGCGAUCUGGCGUGGAUAAUAAUCGGGCAUAAACGAUCUGCCGAAGCCGUGGAUGUCGUAAGACAUGGUAGGGGAGCAUUCCAUGCGGCGUCGAAGAUGAGGGAUGACCCUUGUUGGAGCGCAUGGAAAAGCAAAUGUAGGUAUGAGUAACGAUAAGGGGGGCGAGAAACCCCCCCGCCGAAAGACCAAGGUUUCCUGAUCAACGCUAAUCGGAUCAGGGUGAGUCGGGACCUAAGGCAAAGCCGAACGGCGCCGCCGAUGGAAGAAUGGGUUAAUAUUCCCAUACUGCCUCAUGGAGUGACGUGGAGACGGAGAAGUGACAGUCCUGCCGGCUGACGGAAUAGCCGGUUGAAGGGUGUAGAUAUUGAUUCCCGUAGGCAAAUCCGCGGGGAGAGUCGAACCUGACAGUAUACCGAGUACUUGUACGAGGUAAUAUGGACGUAACCAUGCUCCCGAGAAAAUCCGCUAAACUUAUCCAUGCGGCACCCGUACCGUAAACGGACACACGUGGUCGGGUUGAGAAUACUGAGGCGCUCGAGUGACUCACGGUUAAGGAACUAGGCAAAUUGACCCUGUAACUUCGGGAUAAAGGGUCCUCGUCGUAAGGCGAGGCGCAGAGAAUAGGUCCAGGCAACUGUUUAACAAAAACACAUGGCUAUGCUAAAUGGAAACAUGACGUAUAUAGCCUGACACCUGCCCGGUGCUGGAAGGUUAAGAGGAGAUGUCAUCGCAAGAGAAGCGUUGAAUUGAAGCCCCAGUAAACGGCGGCCGUAACUAUAACGGUCCUAAGGUAGCGAAAUUCCUUGUCG
rnacentral:rRNA from 1 species